UAUAAGUGUAAUGAUUUUACCAAAUUAUUAGUAGCUAUGUUCUUUAAAAUUAAAGAUUUUGGCGGUACUUUAGUCUUUUCAAAGGAACCUGUUCUAUAAUUGAUAGUCCACGAAGAAAUUGUACUUGUUUUAAGUAAUUUGUAUACCGUCGUAGUUAAAUAUUUUAUAAGAAAAAGAAUAUUUAAAAUCUUUUAUUAGAAAAGAAAUCAGAUCAAGGUGCAGUUUAUAAAUAAGAAGAAAUGGGUUACACUAAAAUUAUUUACUAUGAAUUAGGAUUUGAAAUUUCCUAUAAAAGUGGAUUUGAAAGUAAUUUAGAAUAAAUUUUCAAGAUGAUUUUAGCUCUAAAGUAUGU
rnacentral:rRNA from 1 species